CCACACUCCCAGCCCCUUGGGAAAGGGGCUGUGGGGCCGCCCCGCCGCGGCCACCCCCGGGGAAAAGUAGGUCAUGGCGGCGCGGCGGCGGCUCAGGGGUUAAGGCCGCUCCCCCCGCGACGGAGCCGCCGCGGCGGGACACACCCCCGCGAUGUAUCAACUUGUCCGCCGUGGCAAAAGUUCAGGCCCGGCGCUCGCCCAUUGGCCCGCCGCCGCGUGACGUGCGGCCCCGCCACCGCCCAUUGGCCCGGGAGCCGCGUCGGCACCGCCCACUCCCCCCCACCUCCUCGAGCGGCGCGGCGUGCCCGUGAAUGAAAGACAUUCCGCGAGCCGCACCGCCCCGGGUCCUAGCGCCCGCCGCCGCCGCGGGGGCUCAGGGCGGCGGGGAGCGGCCGCCGGCGGGGGCCGGCGUGUCCCGGGGACUCGGGUGGGCGCCGGCAGCGCGGGGGGAGCGGCGGCCCCGAGGGAAGGACGGCGGCCCCGUGGGGGAGGCGCGGCGCCGCGUCCCGCCCCACGCGGGGGAACGGCGGCAGAGGGAAGCGGGAGUUCAGGCGGCCUCACUCCCCCACGUGGGAUUUCCCCGGGCGCAUCAGCCGCUGCCGGGGGCCGGGACACGCUCCGGACCAAGCGACUCCGGCAGCUCCCGGGGGGUCCGGAGCCCCCACGCCGCGGGUGGGAGAGGGGCGUCCUGCGUGGGAACCUGCUAUUGAACCCAGCAGGAGCAGGGAUCAGCCUGGGACCCGACCGGGGAACUUCACUUAGCAAAAAGAAACCUUGGCCAUUUAUUUCCCAGCAGUUGAGCACCCCCCCAAAAAAAACCCAAACCAAACCAAUAAAUAUAUUUCAUCCAACAAUUUUGAGACAA